rnacentral:rRNA from 1 species
UACGUAGGGGGCAAGCGUUGUCCGGAAUUAUUGGGCGUAAAGAGCGUGUAGGCGGUCCGGUAAGUCAGCUGUGAAAGUCAAGGGCUCAACCCUUGAAAGCCGGUUGAUACUGUCGGGCUAGAGUCCGGGAGAGGCGAGUGGAAUUCCCGGUGUAGCGGUGAAAUGCGCAGAUAUCGGGAGGAACACCAAUGGCGAAGGCGGCGCGCUGGGACGGAACUGACGCUGAGACGCGAAAGCGUGGGGAGCAAACAGG